GCCUGGUAGCGGGGGAUAACUAUUGGAAACGAUAGCUAAUACCGCAUAACAGUAGAUAUCGCAUGGUAUGUGCUUGAAAGGUGCAAUUGCAUCACUACCAGAUGGACCUGCGUUGUAUUAGCUAGUUGGUGAGGUAACGGCUCACCAAGGCAACGAUACAUAGCCGACCUGAGAGGGUGAUCGGCCACACUGGGACUGAGACACGGCCCAG
rnacentral:rRNA from 1 species